AGAGUUUGAUCCUGGCUCAGGACGAACGCUGGCGGCGUGCCUAAUACAUGCAAGUCGAACGCUUCUUUUUCCAUCGGAGCUUGCUCCACCGGAAAAAGAGGAGUGGCGAACGGGUGAGUAACACGUGGGUAACCUGCCCAUCAGAAGGGGAUAACACUUGGAAACAGGUGCUAAUACCGUAUAACAAUCGAAACCGCAUGGUUUUGAUUUGAAAGGCGCUUUCGGGUGUCGCUGAUGGAUGGACCCGCGGUGCAUUAGCUAGUUGGUGAGGUAACGGCUCACCAAGGCGACGAUGCAUAGCCGACCUGAGAGGGUGAUCGGCCACAUUGGGACUGAGACACGGCCCAAACUCCUACGGGAGGCAGCAGUAGGGAAUCUUCGGCAAUGGACGAAAGUCUGACCGAGCAACGCCGCGUGAGUGAAGAAGGUUUUCGGAUCGUAAAACUCUGUUGUUAGAGAAGAACAAGGAUGAGAGUAACUGUUCAUCCCUUGACGGUAUCUAACCAGAAAGCCACGGCUAACUACGUGCCAGCAGCCGCGGUAAUACGUAGGUGGCAAGCGUUGUCCGGAUUUAUUGGGCGUAAAGCGAGCGCAGGCGGUUUCUUAAGUCUGAUGUGAAAGCCCCCGGCUCAACCGGGGAGGGUCAUUGGAAACUGGGAGACUUGAGUGCAGAAGAGGAGAGUGGAAUUCCAUGUGUAGCGGUGAAAUGCGUAGAUAUAUGGAGGAACACCAGUGGCGAAGGCGGCUCUCUGGUCUGUAACUGACGCUGAGGCUCGAAAGCGUGGGGAGCAAACAGGAUUAGAUACCCUGGUAGUCCACGCCGUAAACGAUGAGUGCUAAGUGUUGGAGGGUUUCCGCCCUUCAGUGCUGCAGCUAACGCAUUAAGCACUCCGCCUGGGGAGUACGACCGCAAGGUUGAAACUCAAAGGAAUUGACGGGGGCCCGCACAAGCGGUGGAGCAUGUGGUUUAAUUCGAAGCAACGCGAAGAACCUUACCAGGUCUUGACAUCCUUUGACCACUCUAGAGAUAGAGCUUCCCCUUCGGGGGCAAAGUGACAGGUGGUGCAUGGUUGUCGUCAGCUCGUGUCGUGAGAUGUUGGGUUAAGUCCCGCAACGAGCGCAACCCUUAUUGUUAGUUGCCAUCAUUUAGUUGGGCACUCUAGCAAGACUGCCGGUGACAAACCGGAGGAAGGUGGGGAUGACGUCAAAUCAUCAUGCCCCUUAUGACCUGGGCUACACACGUGCUACAAUGGGAAGUACAACGAGUCGCAAAGUCGCGAGGCUAAGCUAAUCUCUUAAAGCUUCUCUCAGUUCGGAUUGUAGGCUGCAACUCGCCUACAUGAAGCCGGAAUCGCUAGUAAUCGCGGAUCAGCACGCCGCGGUGAAUACGUUCCCGGGCCUUGUACACACCGCCCGUCACACCACGAGAGUUUGUAACACCCGAAGUCGGUGAGGUAACCUUUUGGAGCCAGCCGCCUAAGGUGGGAUAGAUGAUUGGGGUGAAGUCGUAACAAGGUAGCCGUAUCGGAAGGUGCGGCUG
rnacentral:rRNA from 1 species